rnacentral:rRNA from 1 species
ACGUAGGGGGCAAGCGUUAUCCGGAAUUACUGGGUGUAAAGGGUACGUAGGCGGUUCAUUAAGUCAGAUGUGAAAGCCCGAAGCUCAACUUCGGGACUGCAUUUGAAACUGGUGAACUAGAGUACAGGAGAGGUAAGUGGAAUUCCUAGUGUAGCGGUGAAAUGCGUAGAUAUUAGGAAGAACACCAGUGGCGAAGGCGACUUACUGGACUGUAACUGACGCUGAGGUACGAAAGCGUGGGGAGCGAACAGG